CAUGAAGUCGGAAUUGCUAGUAAUCGUAGGUCAGCAUACUACGGUGAAUACGUUCCCGGGCCUUGUACACACCGCCCGUCAAACCAUGAGAGUUGGCAACACCCGAAGUCGGUAGUCUAACCGCAAGGAGGACGCCGCCGAAGGUGGGGUUGAUGAUUAGGGUUAAGUCGUAACAAGGUAGC
rnacentral:rRNA from 1 species